rnacentral:rRNA from 1 species
GAUGAACGCUGGCGGCGUGCCUAAUACAUGCAAGUCGAGCGAACAGAUGAGAAGCUUGCUUCUCUGAUGUUAGCGGCGGACGGGUGAGUAACACGUGGGUAACCUACCUAUAAGACAGGGAUAACUCUGGGAAACCGGGGCUAAUACCGGAUAAUAUUUUGGACCGCAUGUUUCAAUAGUGAAAGACGGUUUCGGCUGUCGCUUUUAGAUGGAACCGGGCCGUAUAAGCUAGUUGUUAAGGUAACGGCUUACCAAGGCGACGAUAUGUAGCCGACCUGAGAGAGGGAUCGGCCAAACUGAAACUGAGACACGGUCCAGACUCCUACGGGAGGAAGCAGUAGGGAAUCUUCCGCAAUGGGCGAAAGCCUGACGGAGCAACGCCGCGUGAGUGAUGAAGGUCUUCGGAUCGUAAAACUCUGUUGUUAGGGAAGAACAAAUUUGUUAGUAACUGAACAAGUCUUGACGGUACCUAACCAGAAAGCCACGGCUAACUACGUGCCAGCCGCCGCAGUAA